AGGCAAUAUGAUGGUGAUACCCACCCUACUUGCUCUGCCUGUCCUCACCUAAGCUCCACCAGUCGUAUUGCUUCAUUGAUUACCCCCUCCUUCCUCGAGAACCGUUCGUCAUUACAAGAUGGUUCAGUCCUAGUUGACAUUCCACUAUAUGAAAAGACCAGAUCGCCACGUUAUAUUCUUAUUCCUUGGUUAAGAGAGAGAGAGAACCGGAACAGCGACCUCGUGAAUCAUCCUAUUUAAUCGCUUCACCCUCGCCACAUUCGCUACUACUUCAAUUAUUGGGCAAGUACACAAGUAGACCCUGGAACUUAUAACCCUGCUGAGAAUAGUGACCAAAUUGUGUCGGAAAAUUACGGACAGUACUAUGACAAUAAAGAUAACUACGACCAGAAUAGGCACUACAAUUACAACGACUUUACUUUUAAAUAUUAACUUAUGGUAAUUCAAAUGUUUGUUUGUACGAUUAUAUUUAAUUUUGUUGGCUGUGCGCGAGAAAUUCGAUAAUUCUUUAAAUUAAUGAUUUUUUACUAUAAGAACGGGCAUACCUUAUUACCAAUAGUUCUUUUGAAAUUUUUUUUUUUAAAGAAAAAAAAGAAGGUUGUAGAUUUAUCAUUUCUUUAAUUAUAGAUAGUUUUACUAUGACGUGGUCGUCAUUAAUUUUCGAUCGGGGAGAUGUUAGGUAGGGGUAUAGUGAAUUGAAGGUGAACAGGUUUGCAAAUAUCUCACGGCCUGUAUUAGUAUCUUAUAAAAUAUUUGUACUGAGAGACGGGUAGUCGGUCAAUUAAUUUAAAGUCUUUAUCAAUUUAGAAAAUAUUAAGAGUCAGCGUAACAAGCUGAAAGUUGUAAGGUUUGUAUGAUUGAAAUGUCUCACGGCGUGAAGCUGUAGUUAGUAUUUUAAGCCGUUGUAAAUUAGUAGUUAUUUGGAAUUGUGACGUUCCCGGUGGGAAAAGUAGUGGCUUGAAGAUCGUUAAAGUUUCAAAUUUAUUAGAACUUAUAGUUAAAAGAAUACUUACAAUUAUUUUAACAGCAUUGAUUUUUGAUUAUUGUGUUGACGAACUAGCCGAGGUGUUACAAGAGUGCCAUGAGAAUCAACUCCCCCUUCAACUCCCCAAAGACCUGUCAACCAGCAGUCUACAAAAAGGGGAGCUCGCCUGCUGCUCGCCGCCGUCCGCCUUUAGCCUUUCUGCCUUUUCUCUUAUCUCCGGCCCGGGGUCAUGUCAUGCUGUGCCCGUUCUCUCUCCACUCGUUACUCAUUUUCAUUAUAGAUUGUCUCGCCGCACUACUUGUUCCCGAUCGAUCCUUCCAGCAACUAGUCUAAGCUAUGGGGAUCUAUUCCCGAGGU